GGAAGACUUACACACCCGCCCAUCUCACUUACAGGGUGUCCAAUCUUCCCCACGUCGUUGUAAAAUCCCCAGAAAUACACACAGGCUCCUCCGCACAUGCAUUCUUCUGGCUCAUUCUUCUAGCUGCACAAGGCUACUCAGGCCAGGGGAGAGACGCACUCUCUGAAUGUGUGCUGGAGCUGCAGUGUGGCCCCAUGACCCGAGUGUAGGGGCAGAGCCACAGGACCUGGUGAUGCUCCCUUUGCAGCUGCCUGCGCAGCUCACCUGGAGCCCAGAGAAGGGGCCAGUGGGAACCGCAAAGUAUCAGCCAGGACAGACCAUCUGCGGACUCACCGCCUUCACUGUGCUAGAAGCCUCCCGAAAGGGGAAACAGGAAUGCGUCCUGGCAAACCUUGGGUCUGUGGGCGGCAGCGGGCUGCUCGAGGUGCUGCCCUUGUCCCGAGACAAAAACUCUGUGGGCCUCAAGCAGAUGAUUGAGAAGCACAAGAAUCAGGACACCCCGCAAGACAAGGUGGUCACUGUGAACACAUCUCCGGGGUCCCUGGAGGGUGGGUGCACAAAUGCACCACUACCCCGCCGGCCAUUCGUGGGUGCAAGGAGCUCUCGUUGGCCGGGCUGCUGGCCCAGAAGCGUGCAGGUGUGGCCGGCGCAGGGCACCACCGCUCUGAGGGGGCGGCUCCAGCUGCGCCUCCGAGUCCAAGCGCCUCCUGACCCUGACGGGCCCUACCCUCUGUCCGCCUCGCAACACACAAAGGCCAUCAGUACACCUCGAUUUGGGCAGAGGAAGCAGGGCGGUGUGCAGCGGGACGCCUCCCGAGCGGUGCCCAAGUAUGCGAGGAGGGAGCUCGGGACAGGAAGCAGAGGAGAAAAUGAUACAGAGAAGUAAAUCUAUUUGCUGAAACAAAUUCCAAGUAGUAAAAACCCUUCCAAGACGCAUCUCCAGCUGUCCCGCCCCAGACAGAUGUUCUCAUAAACAAAGAGCUGUGAACCACCCGCGCUGCCUCCCUCCUCGCCUGGCUGGAUCCCACACGCUCCUCCUGGCUCCGGCCCGGCCCGCUCCCCUCAGCAUCUGCAGACCAUCCGGGCUGCACCUUCUGUCUUCAUGAGAUCCCACGCCCCCUCCGCACCCUCGGCAAGCAGACCCCAGAUCCACUCUCAUGGCCCAUGCGGAGGCAGGCUAGCCUCCAGGAGCCGGCCUGGCUGCCCUAUAGGCAGACGGGGUGCCCACAUUCAGGAACAAUUUACUUGGCGGUUUACAAAUACUUAUAUCAUCUAAUUAUUUCAUUUUCAAAGCAGUGCCUAAAACAAGGAAGUGUGCCAAUGAAGUGCUCACCGGGUGCAAGCACUGCAGUAUAUCUGAGGCUUGGUGGAAGCAAACCCCGCAUGACCUCCAUCUGAUCAAGGCUCCCCCAGACUUGGACUUCAUGGGCCUAUCCAGCUCCUGGCUCUAACUCCACACGUGCACCUAUGUACAGAAUAAAUGCAUCCCAGGUAUCA
rnacentral:lncRNA from 12 species